rnacentral:rRNA from 2 species
CGAACUCUGGUAUUGAUUGGUGCUUGCAUCAUGAUUUACAUUUGAGUGAGUGGCGAACUGGUGAGUAACACGUGGGAAACCUGCCCAGAAGCGGGGGAUAACACCUGGAAACAGAUGCUAAUACCGCAUAACAACUUGGACCGCAUGGUCCGAGUUUGAAAGAUGGCUUCGGCUAUCACUUUUGGAUGGUCCCGCGGCGUAUUAGCUAGAUGGUGAGGUAACGGCUCACCAUGGCAAUGAUACGUAGCCGACCUGAGAGGGUAAUCGGCCACAUUGGGACUGAGACACGGCCCAAACUCCUACGGGAGGCAGCAGUAGGGAAUCUUCCACAAUGGACGAAAGUCUGAUGGAGCAACGCCGCGUGAGUGAAGAAGGGUUUCGGCUCGUAAAACUCUGUUGUUAAAGAAGAACAUAUCUGAGAGUAACUGUUCAGGUAUUGACGGUAUUUAACCAGAAAGCCACGGCUAACUACGUGCCAGCAGCCGCGGUAAUACGUAGGUGGCAAGCGUUGUCCGGAUUUAUUGGGCGUAAAGCGAGCGCAGGCGGUUUUUUAAGUCUGAUGUGAAAGCCUUCGGCUCAACCGAAGAAGUGCAUCGGAAACUGGGAAACUUGAGUGCAGAAGAGGACAGUGGAACUCCAUGUGUAGCGGUGAAAUGCGUAGAUAUAUGGAAGAACACCAGUGGCGAAGGCGGCUGUCUGGUCUGUAACUGACGCUGAGGCUCGAAAGUAUGGGUAGCAAACAGGAUUAGAUACCCUGGUAGUCCAUACCGUAAACGAUGAAUGCUAAGUGUUGGAGGGUUUCCGCCCUUCAGUGCUGCAGCUAACGCAUUAAGCAUUCCGCCUGGGGAGUACGGCCGCAAGGCUGAAACUCAAAGGAAUUGACGGGGGCCCGCACAAGCGGUGGAGCAUGUGGUUUAAUUCGAAGCUACGCGAAGAACCUUACCAGGUCUUGACAUACUAUGCAAAUCUAAGAGAUUAGACGUUCCCUUCGGGGACAUGGAUACAGGUGGUGCAUGGUUGUCGUCAGCUCGUGUCGUGAGAUGUUGGGUUAAGUCCCGCAACGAGCGCAACCCUUAUUAUCAGUUGCCAGCAUUAAGUUGGGCACUCUGGUGAGACUGCCGGUGACAAACCGGAGGAAGGUGGGGAUGACGUCAAAUCAUCAUGCCCCUUAUGACCUGGGCUACACACGUGCUACAAUGGAUGGUACAACGAGUUGCGAACUCGCGAGAGUAAGCUAAUCUCUUAAAGCCAUUCUCAGUUCGGAUUGUAGGCUGCAACUCGCCUACAUGAAGUCGGAAUCGCUAGUAAUCGCGGAUCAGCAUGCCGCGGUGAAUACGUUCCCGGGCCUUGUACACACCGCCCGUCACACCAUGAGAGUUUGUAACACCCAAAGUC